rnacentral:lncRNA from 1 species
UGACAUCAGUAAAUCAACAUAAAUCAAUAAUUAAAAGAAGUCUUAAAUUAAAACGGAUAACAAAGGUUUACAUCAUCAUCCUAACACAAAAAGUUUAGCAUAGCAUGCUAAUUACAUAAAUUUAAAAGGAUAACUGAGUAUACAUCAUCCUAAAAAUCAAAUUAUAAAAAGAUGUUUCAAGAUGAUUUUCUCCUCCUUUAAAUACCUUCAAUGAAGUCUUCAAUAAAUCACGGAUUUCCUUGCUUGAAGUAGUCAAUCAUGAGCACAAAUCUCUUCAAUUGUGAGAUGAAUUACGUAUUUCCUCUUUCUAUCUCUGUUCUCCAGAAAAUACUGAAUUUGGCCUCCUUUGUUAGGUUAAAACCAUGAACCAAAUUGCAUUUCAAAAUGAGGUUGAAGUAAAAAAAGAAACAAGAUCUUCCAUUCUCGAUUGCACUAUACGAUUGGUAUUAGCCUAGCAAUUGGAUGGGCUUUGGCCUUGCAAUCGCAAGGUGCAAUUAUUGCUUAAAACCAUUUUGGUCCUUGUUUUCUGCUUUGAACUGAGUUUAAUUCCCUCAAAAUUGUAAUUUAAACCCUUUAUCUUUCAAGUCCUGACGCUUUGGUCCCCAUAUUCCUAUUUAUGUAUGAUUCACUUCAUUUUCAUUCGUUUUCCGUUCCCUUUUCUUCAAAAUUAAGGUAAUCAAAUUGAGUUUAUCCUAAACAAGCAAUACACAUUUAAUUAAGUAAUAAUUGAAAAAAUAAACAAAUGUUUCACUUUUAACAGUCUAAAUAUGUGUAAAAAUUACACUUUCCAAAUCUUCCUAACAUUUGUUCAUCAUCUAGUUAGAUAGCUUACCCUUUUGUUUCACGUUAUGAAAAUGUAUAAAUAACUUAAAACCAUGAUACCAAAAACAAUAUUAACUUAUCAAACAUCCAAUCGACACGUAUAUGUAUAGUCAACUCAAUUGUCAUAAACUUCCAAGUUGAUUUUAUCCCGACCCUUAUUGGUCAAAUAUAUCAUAUCUAUAAUAAAAUGCACACCCUAAACUUGUUCUUCAAAUUAUGAAUGGGCUGUCUAUUUUAAGGUUGAAUUCGCAACACUCGUUCAUUUUCCUAUCAAAUUCAUUGGGCUUCACUUAUUGAAGCCCCUACUUUAACAUGCGCCGAUUUUAAUUAUCUGAACCUACAAGUUUCAAUUAGGUUAAUAACCCUUACUAAAAGUCUAAUUCCCAAAGGUAAGUUUCCAAUGCUUAUUCAGGCUUUAGUAAGCAUGCCUGGAAUCAUCACUUAUCUCCAUAGCUCCUUACAUUGGCUUAAUCACUUCCAAACUAUAUUUUAAUCACUUCCAAACUAUAUUUUCAAGUGAUUACGGGAUUGUGUAAUGUGAUUUAGUAUCCGGUGGCUAAACUUUGGAAAUCUUAAUCGCAUAAUGCCUUUGGAGGGGUUGUAACAAUUCUAAUUACUGACAAAAGUAUUCGAUUAUUGGGGAUUUUUUUUUUAAUUUGGCUGAGAUAUCAAAUAAAUAGAGUAAUAGAAAGUAUUUUAGCAACCUAAGUCCAAACUCAAUCAAUCUAUGAUAAUCAAAGAAUCAACUCAUAAUUUCAUAAUUAAUAAAUUGACUAAUAUGCCUCAAAAUAUGUCAAGUCUCCACAUGGAUAAGUGUAAAUCAACCAAAGCACAAAACUUAUUCACAAUUCAUAAAUCAACAAACAACUCCGAUAAUAUCAUUAUAAAUGGGGCAAUACUAUCCAACUUAAUAAGCACACAAAUAAAAGAAAAUAUUAUUUUUUGAAAUUUUUGAUUUUUUUUUUUUAGUAAAAAAAGUAAUGACACUUUCAAUCACACAAAAACAUAUAGUAAUAUACUAAAAAUCAUAAAAUACCCACACCUAAACUAGACAGUACCCCUAAUGUCUCAAAGCAUAGAGAAAUUAUUGAAACAAAUUCGGGCCGUGGAGGCUGGAAGUGAACUAUGGGGCUCGUUGUGAAAGGGCAACUUGUUCCAUCGAUGCAUGAAUGUCAUCGAGCUGAUCGGUGAUUCUAUCCAAUUGCUUGGUGUCCUAGUCCCACUUCCGACUGAUGUGAUUGUGAUUAAGUAUUAGCUUAACUCAAUAAGGUAUUGAGUGGCUCGAAAGGUAGCAACAUCAUGAUGUAGAGUCCGCAUAUCCUACUAUAGAGCCCUAAUUUCCCUCGUGUUCUCCAUCACGAUAGAGAUUGGAGAGUAUAUAUAUUGAAGAAGAGUCGAAUUAGAUGAGGGCUCCAAAGCCAGUGGUAGAAGUAGAAAUAAUACCGAGCCAGAUUUUUUAAAUUUCAACUUCAAAAUUCAGAUUUAAAAUUUUUUAAUAUAAAAAUCAGAUGAUAAUAUAAUUUUUAAAUAUUAAUAAUAAUAUUAUAAAAUUAAAUAAAUCUACACCCCCACACCCACCCCCAAUCCACCAAAACACUCAUCCAUCCAAUUUCAAACCCUAACACUACCCCCAAUCCACAAACCCUAACAUAAUUUCUCAAGUAUCUCUCAACCUUUCAAUUCUAAACGCCUAUUCACUCGCCCAUAAGACAAACGUACCAAGUGCCUUGUGCCAUCGCGGCUGCAUACGAAGCAAAGAUGAUGAGAGCGCCGCUACGCACUAAUUGCAAUGGCGAAUAGGGAGCCACACGCAAAAGAGCGGCAACACGGUGGUGUGUUUUUGAUAGUUGUAGUGUUUAUGUUGAAUGGGUCUUUGUUAGUGGGUAUUGAGUGUGGUAUUUAGUAACACACUAAUAUGAAUAGUGGUCACCGUGCGAUAGUGGCGCUAGUUAUGGUUUUGGGGGUGAUUUUUAUUUGUUAUUGUUGGUGCAGUGGUUGUGGUUGUGGUUGUGAUGGAGUUGGCAAUGUGGUGGCAGUUCUGGAGGCGAUAUUCAUGAUGGUGGGUAUUAAAAAAAAAAAGGGUUG